rnacentral:rRNA from 1 species
CGGGCAUAGCAAUAUGUCAGCGGCAGACGGGUGAGUAACGCGUGGGAACGUACCUUUUGGUUCGGAACAACUGAGGGAAACUUCAGCUAAUACCGGAUAAGCCCUUACGGGGAAAGAUUUAUCGCCGAAAGAUCGGCCCGCGUCUGAUUAGCUAGUUGGUGAGGUAAUGGCUCACCAAGGCGACGAUCAGUAGCUGGUCUGAGAGGAUGAUCAGCCACAUUGGGACUGAGACACGGCCCAAACUCCUACGGGAGGCAGCAGUGGGGAAUAUUGGACAAUGGGCGCAAGCCUGAUCCAGCCAUGCCGCGUGAGUGAUGAAGGCCCUAGGGUUGUAAAGCUCUUUUGUGCGGGAAGAUAAUGACGGUACCGCAAGAAUAAGCCCCGGCUAACUUCGUGCCAGCAGCCGCGGUAAUACGAAGGGGGCUAGCGUUGCUCGGAAUCACUGGGCGUAAAGGGUGCGUAGGCGGGUCUUUAAGUCAGGGGUGAAAUCCUGGAGCUCAACUCCAGAACUGCCUUUGAUACUGAAGAUCUUGAGUUCGGGAGAGGUGAGUGGAACUGCGAGUGUAGAGGUGAAAUUCGUAGAUAUUCGCAAGAACACCAGUGGCGAAGGCGGCUCACUGGCCCGAUACUGACGCUGAGGCACGAAAGCGUGGGGAGCAAACAGGAUUAGAUACCCUGGUAGUCCACGCUGUAAACGAUGAAUGCCAGCCGUUAGUGGGUUUACUCACUAGUGGCGCAGCUAACGCUUUAAGCAUUCCGCCUGGGGAGUACGGUCGCAAGAUUAAAACUCAAAGGAAUUGACGGGGGCCCGCACAAGCGGUGGAGCAUGGGGUUUAAUUCGACGCAACGCGCAGAACCUUACCAGCCCUUGACAUCCCGGUCGCGGACUCCAGAGACGGAGUUCUUCAGUUCGGCUGGACCGGAGACAGGGGCUGCAU